GUCAUUUUGCAGGGCUCUGGCAGUGCUCCUCCUGCUCCUCCUUGCACAAAGGCGGAGGUAGCGGUCCUGCUGCUGGGUUGUUGCCCUCCUAUGGCCUCCUCCACGUCUCCUGAUGUACUGGCCUGUCUCCUGGUAGCGCCUCCAUGCUCUGGACACUACGCUGACAGACACAGCAAACCUUCUUGCCACAGCUCGCAUUGAUGUGCCAUCCUGGAUGAGCUGCACUACCUGAGCCACUUGUGUGGGUUGUAGACUCCGUCUCAUGCUACCACUAGAGUGAAAGCACCGCCAGCAAUCAAAGUAACCAAAACAUCAGCCAGGAAGCAUAGGAACUGAGAAGUGGUCUGUGGUCACCACCUGCAGAACCACUCCUUUAUUGGGGGUGUCUUGCUAAUUGCCUAUAAUUUCCACCUGUUGUCUAUUCCAUUUGCACAACAGCAUGUGAAAUGUAUUGUCAAUCAGUGUUGCUUCCUAAGUGGACAGUUUGAUUUCACAGAAGUGUGAUUGACUUGGAGUUACAUUGUGUUGUUUAAGUGUUCCCUUUAUUUUUUUGAGCAGUGUAUUUUCCAUAACCCAAAAUAUUGUAUUUUCAGCUGUUCGAAGCUUGUGUACAAAACCAAAAGUAAAAAGAAUACAAAUCAGUUUGUCACACAUGAAAUCAAUCAAUAAUUUGUUCAUUUCAUCACACAGACGAGUCAUUCAUGCUUUGAAAUGCAAUCAAGCAUUUUAGUUUUAAAACAAAGUAAUAAAGGGAGCUUUGUAUAAUUAGCCUAAACAAUAACUAAACGGCAAUUUACUAACUGUUUUUAGUCUUUGCUGUAAUAAAAGCUUAAUAUAUUGUUCUUUAGAAUUGACUCUGGUACACUUAUAGCUGAUUUUAGUUGACUUUAUUCAAAGACAUAGGGUGUGUCUAUAUAUGGGAAAAAUACACGUUGACAUUUCAACCAAUCGAUUGGUCGAAAAAACAGACUACUCUCGGUCGACCAAGAUCUUUUUAGUCAGGGACUUGCAUAACUCCAAAUACAGGUGUGCCAAGCUUGUAGUGUCAUACCCAAGACUCGACGCUGUAAUCGCUGACAAAGGUGCUUCAAAGUACUGAGUAAAGGGUCAGAAUACUAAAUAAAGUAUGUUUAUUUUUUAUACAUUUGCAAAAAUGUCAAAAACCUGUUUUCACUUUGUCAUUAUGGGGUAUAGUGUGUAGAUUGAUGAGUCAAUAAACAUUACAUUAAUUUUAGAAUAAGGCUGUAACGUAACAAAAUGUGGGGAAAAAGUGAAGAGGGUCGGAAUACUUUACAAAUGCACUGUAGCUAACAUAAAGUGACCAUUUGAUUGAAAAAACAUCGUAUUGACUAAGUUUGUCGCUCCAACAGAUUCUCACUUCCACGUGCACAUUGUCGUCCAUUAGCAACAAACGAUGAGCUCCUUUUUUGUAGCAUUUCUAACAUAUUUUCAGCCGGAUCUCCGAGUUAUAUUCAAACGGGUCAGUAACUCUGUUGCUCUGGAACAAUACAGUUACUAUUAGCUAAAAUUAGCUUAUUUGCCCAAAGUCCAGCAGCUAGCCUCUGCAGCUAGCUAGGUAACACCAGUCAGCUGAAAGCUAGCUAGCUAAUGAACGGGCAAAGAAAGGUAGCUAGCUAUAUUUGUUUAUGGGAGGUUUGAUACACAUAUAACAAAGCCAUUCGGCAGGUAAAGCCAGACAACAACAGCUGACCUAGACACACAUGGAAGCUCAUGAUAGCUAAUUCACUUCCAAAUGCCAGUCCUACAUUUUUCCACAAAACAUAGCUAGCUAGCUAACUACAUCAGUUCAAAACCAACACAAAACGUUGGGCAAAUUGCCACGCUGCUAGCUUACAAUGCAUGCAAUGCAAUUGGCUUUUGCAACACUAGCUAGUUCUAUAGUCCAAGCUAUGGUAAGAGCUAGGCAUUUGACAGGCUUCAUUCUUUUUACAGCUCCGAUCUGGAUGGAGGACUAGCCCAUGUGUAGGAUAUUUGUCAACAACUCUGCAGUGCACGCUGUUCCAGCUGUGUGGUGCUUGGGUUGGGGAACGGGGCUAAUGCCCCCGAAACCACCGAGUCUUCAAUAUGAAGCAAGACUGCUCAAUGUGUGCUUUGCAUCAUCCAGAGAAAACUGAAGAUCAUCUGACCAACUGGGUUUGUCUUUGUGUAAUAUAACAGUAGGCUCAUGUAGUUUCAUCCUUCACAAUUAAUUGAGCUAUUCACAUAGUGAAAGCUGGAGACAAUUACCUUUGACUAUCCAUGGUCAAUUCUAAACAUACUUCAACAAUUAGUUCAAAACUGAUUUUAGCUAUUAGAGCGCAACAGCCAGCAGACUGUAUAUUCUCAUUUUAAUCUGACGUCUAGAAUUUGUAACAGAAAUUCUGAAUCCAGAUGUCUUUGUUCCAAUGUUUUUUCAAGUUCAAAUGUAAUAAACGAUAUAUCAAAACUAUUUUAUUAUAGACAUAUAUGAUAUUGGGAUUACUCUGAAUAUCACACAUGGACAUUUCCUAUGGCCGGAUAUGGAAUCAUUCAAUUUCCUGAUGUAUGUGACACCCUAUUUUCUUUCUUCAUGAUGAUCAAUACUGACUGUAUACAUUGCAUAUCUGUGUUUUCUCAGCACAUUCAAGACAUUAAGCUUAUCUUGGUUGAGGUCCAUAUAUGGAUCUUGAUAUGCUGAAAAUAAGGAGGAUUUCUGAUGCAGUUUUCAGCAAAGGCUCAAUAAUUAGACAAAUAUGAAAUUCAUUAUUUUAUUAAAAUAAUUUAUGGAUUCCCUCCCGAUAUCAUACAUGGUAUGGCCAGAUAUUGACUCAUUAUAUAUCAUGAGAUAGGCCUAUUUCUCAAUAUGAUGACAAAUACUGACAGUAGGCCUACAUUGUAUAUUUUCUCAGCACAUACAAUGCAUAUGCUCUUGACUGAGGUCUACAUCAGGAUCUUGAUAUGCUAAAUAAGGACCAUUUCUGAUGCUUAUUUGCGCUGAGAACAUGCUCAAUAAUUUGACUAAUAUUAACUCCAUAUCAUUCUUUGAUUCAUUGUUGUAUUACCUCUGCAUAAAGACCCGGGGAAACACAAGCUAAAAGCACCAUAACUGGUAGCCUAGCAACAAGAAUCACCUAUUUUCAACUGCCUUUUUUAUUUGGGCGCCAAAAAUGUGUGUAAACGGUGUUUGUGGUCAAACUGACAUCUGGAUAAACAAAGUGAGAAGGUGUUCAGAAAAUACCUCAAAGAGGUUAACCAAAGCCUCUCAAUGGCCAAUAUAUAGCAUGAGCAAUCCAGGGUUUAUAUACAUCACUGGUGUAGCCGAUGCCUAAUUAUUUCUCCCUGGGUCUGAUUUGACCUGCUGCUGGUUGCGCAUUGCCUUGUAUCAUCAAUCUGUGUGCGAUGAGCUAGUAGGCUACUUGGCUGAAAUUACCACCAUGGUUUCUUUUGUCCUGCUGUUCAAAUCGAACUCAUGGUUAUUGAAAGGUCAAAUAUGAAGACCUAGACAUGUUAUACACCACAGUAGGCAUACUGUUCAUGAAAGUCAAACAAACUUACCCGAUCCAUAGUGGA